GCCGGGUGUUGUGGUGCACACCUGUAAUCCCAGCUACUCAGGAGGCUGAGCCAGGGGAAUCGCUUGAACCCAGGAGGUGGAGGUUGCGAUGAGCCAAGAUCGCGCCACUGCACUCCAGCCUGGGUGACGNNNNNNNNNNUGUCACCCAGGCUGGAGUGCAGUGGCAAGAUCUUGGCUCACUACAAGCUCCACCUUCUGGGUUCAUGCCAUUCUCCUGCCUCAG
rnacentral:SRP_RNA from 1 species